rnacentral:rRNA from 1 species
GAAUACAUCGGAAUCUACCUUUUCGUGGGGGAUAACGUAGGGAAACUUACGCUAAUACCGCAUACGACCUUAGGGUGAAAGCGGAGGACCUUCGGGCUUCGCGCGGAUAGAUGAGCCGAUGUCGGAUUAGCUAGUUGGCGGGGUAAAGGCCCACCAAGGCGACGAUCCGUAGCUGGUCUGAGAGGAUGAUCAGCCACACUGGAACUGAGACACGGUCCAGACUCCUACGGGAGGCAGCAGUGGGGAAUAUUGGACAAUGGGCGCAAGCCUGAUCCAGCCAUGCCGCGUGGGUGAAGAAGGCCUUCGGGUUGUAAAGCCCUUUUGUUGGGAAAGAAAAGCAGCCGGUUAAUACCCGGUUGUUCUGACGGUACCCAAAGAAUAAGCACCGGCUAACUUCGUGCCAGCAGCCGCGGUAAUACGAAGGGUGCAAGCGUUACUCGGAAUUACUGGGCGUAAAGCGUGCGUAGGUGGUUGUUUAAGUCCGUUGUGAAAGCCCUGGGCUCAACCUGGGAAUUGCAGUGGAUACUGGGCAACUAGAGUGUGGUAGAGGAUGGCGGAAUUCCCGGUGUAGCAGUGAAAUGCGUAGAGAUCGGGAGGAACAUCUGUGGCGAAGGCGGCCAUCUGGACCAACACUG